AUUAGAAAAAGCUUGCUUCCAGAAAGGUUUACAGUUCCUCUUACAGAGCGGGAUACAUGUUGUAGAGGUUGUCACCGACGCACAUGUACAAAUUGAAUCUUUGAUGAAAAAUAACUAUCCUGAUAUCAAACAUUCCUUCGACAUCUGGCAUGGGUCCAAGAAUCUAGGCAAAAAACUGUUAAAGGCUGGCCAAGAGAAGACCAAGAAACCUCUUCUGCAGUGGACAAGAGAGGUGGUGAACCACUUCUGGUAUUGCUCAGCUUCUGCCAACACAGUUGAAGAGUUCAUU